GCGUUGCUCGGAAUUACUGGGCGUAAAGGGCGCGUAGGCGGACAUUUAAGUCGGGGGUGAAAGCCCGGGGCUCAACCUCGGAAUUGCCUUCGAUACUGGCUGUCUUGAGUACGGGAGAGGUGUGUGGAACUCCGAGUGUAGAGGUGAAAUUCGUAGAUAUUCGGAAGAACACCAGUGGCGAAGGCGACACACUGGCCCGUUACUGACGCUGAGGCGCGAAAGCGUG
rnacentral:rRNA from 1 species